rnacentral:rRNA from 1 species
CACUGACAUUAGAUACCCCGGUAGUCCCAGCCGUAAACUAUGCGCGUUAGGUGUACUGGUGACCACGAGUCACCGGGGUGCCGAAGGGAAACCGUGAAACGUGCCGCCUGGGAAGUACGGUCGCAAGGCUGAAACUUAAAGGAAUUGGCGGGGGAGCACCGCAACGGGAGGAGCGUGCGGUUUAAUUGGAUUCAACACCGUAAACUCACCAGGGAAGACUGUUACAUGAAGGCCGAGAUGAAGACUCUGCUAGAUUUUCAG